rnacentral:misc_RNA from 1 species
GCCUUUUCUUUAAUGUAUGAGAUAUGUCUCAUUGAAUGAAAAAUCUUAUUAUUAUGGGGAAAUCAUGAGAUUGAUUGGUAAAAUCUUAAGGUGAUCUAUCAUUCAUUGAUAACAUUUCAUAUAUAUCAUAUAUCUUCGAUCACAAGUAUGGAGUUUUAUGUAUCAUGUAAAAUACAUAAUACAAGUGAAUAAAAUAUAACUAUUUUAAGGUUUUG